rnacentral:lncRNA from 1 species
UUCUUUUUCGGCAAAGUAUUUCAUGACUGCACCAUCAUUCACAGGACGAGUGAACUCUUCACCAUCCAUAGUUGUAAGAAUCAAAGCACCUCCUGAAAAGGCUCUCUUAACAACAUAUGGGCCUUCAUAAUUAGGAGUCAAUUUACACUUAACAUAUGGUUUGAAGGAUAUAAUCUUCUUGAGCACAAGAUCACCUUCUCUGAACACACGAGGCUUAACA